rnacentral:rRNA from 1 species
AGAUUGAACGCUAGCGGGAUGCUUUACACAUGCAAGUCGAACGGCAGCGCGGACUUCGGUCUGGCGGCGAGUGGCGAACGGGUGAGUAAUAUAUCGGAACGUGCCCAGUAGCGGGGGAUAACUACGCGAAAGCGUGGCUAAUACCGCAUACGCCCUACGGGGGAAAGGGGGGGAUUCUUCGGAACCUCUCACUAUUGGAGCGGCCGAUAUCAGAUUAGCUAGUUGGUGAGGUAAAGGCUCACCAAGGCGACGAUCUGUAGCUGGUUUGAGAGGACGACCAGCCACACUGGGACUGAGACACGGCCCAGACUCCUACGGGAGGCAGCAGGUGGGGAAUUUGGACAAGUGGGGGAAACCUGAUCCAGCCAUCCCGCGUGUGCGAUGAAGGCCUUGGUUGUAAGCUACUUUGGCGAGGAAGAAACGGCGUCGCCGUAACGUACGGACGUCACGUGACGGUACCGUAGCGACGAAGUAA